rnacentral:pre_miRNA from 1 species
UGGGGAUGCUGUUUGCUUGUUAUGUCGUUAUAAGAUCAUACUGGCCUACAACAUCCCAAA